rnacentral:rRNA from 1 species
GACGUAGGGAGCGAGCGUUGUCCGGAUUUAUUGGGCGUAAAGGGCCAGUAGGCGGCUUGGCAAGUCAGGUGUGAAACCUCCAGGCUCAACCUGGAGACGCCACUUGAUACUGCUAUGGCUUGAGUCCGGUAGGGGAGCAUGGAAUACCCGGUGUAGCGGUGAAAUGCGCAGAUAUCGGGUGGAACACCAGUGGCGAAGGCGGUGCUCUGGGCCGGAACUGACGCUGAAUGGCGAAAGCGUGGGGAGCGAACAGG